UACGGAGGGUGCGAGCGUUGUCCGGAAUCACUGGGCGUAAAGGGCGCGUAGGCGGCCUGAUAAGUAGGGGGUGAAAUCCUGCGGCUUAACCGCAGGGCUGCCUUCUAAACUGUCAGGCUAGAGCACAGUAGAGGCAGGUGGAAUUCCCGGUGUAGCGGUGGAAUGCGUAGAGAUCGGGAAGAACACCAGUGGCGAAGGCGGCCUGCUGGGCUGUUACUGACGCUGAGGCGCGACAGCGUGGGGAGCAAACAGG
rnacentral:rRNA from 1 species